rnacentral:rRNA from 1 species
CAGUCGCCGCGGGAAUACGAAGGGUGCAAGCGUUACUCGGAAUUACUGGGCGUAAAGCGUGUGUAGGUGGUUGUUUAAGUCUGUCGUGAAAGCCCUGAGCUCAACCUGGGAAUUGCGAUGGAUACUGGGCGACUAGAGUGCGGUAGAGGAUAGUGGAAUUUCCGGUGUAGCAGUGAAAUGCGUAGAGAUCGGAAGGAACAUCUGUGGCGAAGGCGACUAUCUGGGCCAACACUAACACUGAGACACGAGAGCGUGGGGAGCAAACAGGAUUAGAUACCCCCGUAGUCCCUGUCUCUUAUAC